rnacentral:piRNA from 1 species
AACUUUAUCAAUCUCGCGAAU